rnacentral:lncRNA from 13 species
AAUGGAUGGGUGAAUAGGUGGGUGGAUGGAUGGGUAGAGGUAUAAGUGCAUAGAUGGAUGGAUGAAUCCCUCCACUCAAUGAACUGAUUGUAAAACUGAUGCCUAGUAGGUGAAUGGCAUCUGCUCCAAGACACAGGGCACUCUGAUCACUCAGAACUGCCCUGAGACCCCAGACCUCUGUUCUUGUGCCCAGCUGUGUGUAGUGAUAAGUUUCAACUUGACAAGCAGAUCUGAUCCAUGUCUUCUGUUGACACAGGGUGGAGCGCUCCAGGGACAGACACUUGAUCCUCCUCACCUCUAUUUAUUGCACCUGUAGGUUCAAGAACAGUCCCCAGUCUGUCACUCCCAGGCCUGUGACCCUGGGCAUAGGACCCAAGAAAGAGAGGUGAUACCCACCUCUCAGGAUUGCUGCCCGGAACAAAUAAAGUGAUGGGCUUUACAGAAACAGCGUAACCACACUGUGAUCAUUUACCCUCUUUCUUGGAAGGUGGAUUCCUUCCAGAAGACGCCCUAAUCAUUGGUUCAGCUGCCUGUCAGCCUGACCCUGACCAGCCAUGGGGAGCCACACCCAUCCCAGAGGGUCACCCAGUCUGGAGUGCAGUGGCAUGAUCUCAGUUCAUGGCAACCUCCAUCUGCUGGGCUUAAGCCAGCCUCCCACCUCAGCCUCCCAAGUAGCUAGGACUACAGGUGCAUGCCACCUGCCCAGCUAAUUUUUGUACUUUUUUGUUGAAGCAGGGUCUCACUAUGUCGUUCAAGCUGGUCUUGACCUCCUGAGCUCAAGCCAUCCACCUCUCUUAGCCUCCCAGAUUGUUGAGGUUACACGUGUGAGCCGCUGCCCCCAGACGUGUUCCAUAAACAGCA